rnacentral:rRNA from 1 species
AUUGAACGCUGGCGGCAGGCCUAACACAUGCAAGUCGAACGAGUGGCGGACGGGUGAGUAAUGUCUGGGAAACUGACUGAUGGAGGGGGAUAACUACUGGAACCGGUAGCUAAUACCGCAUAACAUCAGAUGUGCCUAUAUGGGAUUAGCUAGUUGGUGGGGUAACGGCUCACCAAGGCGACGAUCCCUAUCUGGUCUGAGAGGAUGACCAGCCACACUGGGUCUGGGACACGGGCCAGACUCCUACGGGAGGCAGCAGUGGGGAAUAUUGGACAAUGGGCGUAGGCCUGAGGCAGCCAUGCCGCGUGUAUGAAGAAGGCCUUCGGGUUGUAAAGUACUUUCAGCUGGGAGGCGUUACCCGCAGAAUAAGCACCGGCUAACUCCGUGCCAGCAGCCGCGGUAAUUC